UGUGGGAGCUGGCUUGCCUGCGAUUGGAUCACUGCGGUGUAACAGGUACACCGCGUUGAUGCCAUCGCAGGCAAGCCAGCUCCCACA
rnacentral:antisense_RNA from 1 species